ACGACUCUGUAAGGUAUGGGUUUGAAUUACAUUAAAACACAUUUAACACAUUUAACACAUCCAAUCGCGGAAAUGAUCCACCUUAUAAAUUCGGACAGGUCAUGCUCUGGAAAAGGUAGCGGUAUUAACGGUAAUGUCUACUAAGAAGCAUCGAGCCAUGGGGUCUGAGGAGUGGGUGAGCCGCCUGAAGGCAUUUGCCUCUUCUGGCACUUGGCCCUCCAGUGCAGGGAACAGGCCAUCGCCAAAACAGGCCAAGUGGCACAACCUCUACCAGCAGAUUGAGUAGUGUCCCACGAUGCUGCGUGGGCAGACCUCUAUCUUAAGGGUAGCGCAGACAUGUACCUGUGGCUUUCACCCCCAGCAGCCCUGCAGCUACCUCUGCCUCCACUUCUGCUGCGCCUGCACGGAGCCCUGGGAGGCCUGCAUUGACGCUGGCGAUGGUGAAUAUUUCCAUCACAUUAAAUACCAUGUCAUUCACCUGGUUAGCCAUGAUCAACUC